UAUUUAUCGUGGAUGGGGUAUUAAAAAGAAUUUUUUUACAAAUCACCAUUUGUUGCACUCUCUAAUUUAUAUGUUUAAUACCAACAAGAGGUAUACGUUCUUCAUCCUCCUUCUCGCGGCCAGGUUUUAUGGCGAAGUGGUAGGUUGAGGUUUUUGAUGAAUAUCAAUUAAUGGUAUUGGUGGUGGUUGAAGAUCGUACAUCUUGGGUGGUUGACCCAGAAUUGUUUUCCUACAGCCAUUGAAAGAGAACCCAGGGAGACUUAAUUUGAAAAAAAAUCAAAUUGAACAGACUAACUUUCCAUUUAAACCCAGCUUGAGUCAUUGUUUGAUAAAGAUUAACUAUAUACUAAUGUAUCAGAAUUUAUGAAUAUUUUAGUGUAUUUAAUUUAAGGUUUGAAUAGAGGAUUCGUUA